CUUGAGGUUUUUCGUCGUGGUUAUUUACGUGGCUAGUUCGGUUAACUCCCAACGUAUAAGACGACCUCCUAGAACUAGAUCUCCUAGAACAAGACCUCCUUGCUACAUCAAUGCAAACUGCCCAAUACAGGAUGUUCCUGUUUGUGGUACCGUCAAUCGUCGUGGGAGCAUCAUCAAUUGUAAUUUUAGCAACCAAUGCCUAUUAAAUAAUCACAAAUGCCGAAAGCGUGAAACAUGGACAUCUAGGCGCGGUAGGUGUGGUCAGAAAUCCAGCAACAGAGACUGCAACUAAGCCGAGAAUAUACACUGAAAUAACUAGUGUUAAAGACCCCGUACUUACUACGGCAAAAACUAAGAAUGUAAAAAAAUAAAAAAUAAUUUAGUUCACUUAAA